CGUGUGCAAUGUUGUAAUAGAGGUACAAGCAACACAGGGAUAGGGAGAAGGUGAUCCACAUUGCAGGGGCCUAAUUACAGGGGGCCCUGAAUGCCAAGCCAAGACUUGGAAAAUUAGAAGGUCUACAAGGACUCCAGAACUCUCCAGGAGUGAUGAAAGAUGGUGUCUUAGCCUGGGUUUCUGCAACAAGCAGAGCCUAGCACAACAUGGUGGUUUACUUUGAAAAGUGAUCCCAAGAAACAGGAGUGAGAGGCUCGGAAGAGUCAAACGGAAAGAGGACAAGCCAACCAAGGCUGUGCCUGGGUGCAUCACGAUUCACCUAAAAAUCACCACUGAAAUCCGCAGCAGGCAAUUGUGCCAGACAACAGGUGAUGACGGGGGCAAACACGACUCAGCUUCUGCCUGCAGCAUCUACAGUCAUGGAAGGAGACCUCCGUGAAAGUGUGGUGUUUGCUGUGAGAGGGAGCAGACGCUCACUGCCAUAGAUCUCAGAGACCACCAAGGCUGAAUAAGCUGAACAACGCAUGCGGAAAGUCCACAGGCCUGCACACCAAUGGCCACAGCCUGUUCUCUCCCUGCAGGUAGGACACUCAUGCGGUACCACCCUUCCUGAGGACACCUUCCUUCCAUUGCCUGGACAGCAGCAUCCUGCCCUGGGCCACCCUCCAUGUGGAUGCCCUUCCCACUUCCCCAGGGCACUGACUCCAAGCGCAAGGUGCCCUUGCAAUAGACACUCUCCUCACCCCUCUAGUUCUGCCAUCCUGCCCUGGGCCACCUUCUGUGUAGACCCCUCCUCACCCCACUGAGGGUCUGAGUCUCCGUGCCAGGACAUCCUCCCUGGACAGGACCCCCUUCGGACCCUGCUUUGGUCUCCGACACAUGCUGGGCUGCCCCCUCCUAUGUUGGCACCCUCCUCGCUCCACAUGGGCAACCUCACACUGGACCACCGCCCUUGUGUGAGCCUCUAUCUCACCCCGGUGGACUCCACCCUCCUGCUCUGGGCACGCUACUUCCUCCCCACUCAGCUACAGAGGCCUGCCUUGCUCUACCUUACCUAAUGGCUUCUGAACAGAAUUUUCUAGAAGGGAGAGGAAGAAGCAUCGAGCUGGUUCUCUUGGCCUGUUCCUGGAUCCCAUCCUUCUCCUUUGUUCCCGGCUCCUCCAUUCUCUAGGAAUCUCAAUCUCUUCCGGCAUUGCUGAGUUCUCAAGGUAGGUGAGGUUUUUGCUGGCUUCCUGCAGGGCUUCCUCUGUCUCCUACCCCAUUCCUGCACCAUCUCUGAUGGCCUGGAGCUCUCCAAGGGCCAAAGCCAUGUGGGUUCUGCGGGAAACUCUGGAAGAAUGCCUCUGCUCAACAUCUUACUUCGUCACAGUUGGCCAGAGAAUUCCCCAAUCAGUGUGCUGCCUGGGCUCCAUGUUUCACGGAGUUUGGAGUCAAACAGCUUUUACAGGAUGCCUGUAGCAGCUCUGCUCUCACCCUCCUCCUUCCCUCCACAAUCUGGAUUGGGAGACAAACCUGACUGGCAGACAGCGCCAUGCAUGUGGGAUUUCCUCCCAUAUCCCAGCUUAGGCCUUGCACUGACCAAUUCAAGCUUAUAGUGCCCUCAUUCCUGUCCUCUUAAAAUAAUUAAUCUCCCUGGCUCUCAUACAAACAAACUUCUGGUUGCCCACCACCACCCAUUCUAGACCUUUUAAAAGCCCAAUUGUGGGCACAGCUUGGGCUUACGAGGGACGUCCUUCAACUAUCUGGCUGAGCAUGCUUCUCUUACACUGUUCUCCCUCCCCUCAGUGUGCCCUGUGUGCCAAAGCAGCGUCCAUGUUUUGUUACCCACCCGUUGACUAAGACCUCUGUGAUACCGAGGCCUGAGGAGCUGCGAGCCCCCAUGGCAGAGGCAGGCAAAGGCCCAUCUGCUAAAACUCAGGUCCACGUGCAACCUCAAAAGCACCCUGGAACACCUUUUCCUUCCAUCUCUCUUAGGUUUUAGCCAGCCAGGAGGAAAUUAGAAUUUUUUUUCCCAUUUUAUGAUGAGUUAUGGAAGAAUUAGGUAAAGGAACAUUUAAGCUCCCUACUGCUGGGAAACUUGUCUAUGGUGAGAGAUUUAUCAGACCUGGGUGUGUCACCAGGGGAGGCUAGGAAACCUCAUUACUGAAUAUAGAGCCCCAGACCAGGUCUUGGAGACUCUAUCAUUGAUCCAGAUAACCCAACUCUGCUUUUUCACUUGCCAUCCUUUUAAAUUCCCAAAUCCUAACUCAAAUGCAUAGGCUGUCUUUCAAAGAGCAAUGACAAGAGAAAGGCAUGCACGCUGCGUAUGAGAGGGGAGGGGAGGUUCCUGCGGCAGAAGAAGCAAGGUGAGGCACAAGUAACACUGACCGAAAUAGAAAGAGCAUGACUCAGCUGGGCGUGGUGGCUCGCACCUGGAAUCCCAGCACCAUGGGAGGCCAAGGCGGGCAGAUCA
rnacentral:lncRNA from 1 species